rnacentral:tRNA from 1 species
GUCCCUGUAGCGCAAUGGGUAGCGCAUUGGACUUCUAAUCCAAAUAACGUGGGCUCGAAUCCCACCUGGGAUA